GAUCAUGGCUCAGGAUGAACGCUAGCUACAGGCUUAACACAUGCAAGUCGAGGGGCAGCAUGAACUUAGCUUGCUAAGUUUGAUGGCGACCGGCGCACGGGUGAGUAACACGUAUCCAACCUGCCGAUGACUCGGGGAUAGCCUUUCGAAAGAAAGAUUAAUACCCGAUGGCAUAGUUCUUCCGCAUGGUUGAACUAUUAAAGAAUUUCGGUCAUCGAUGGGGAUUCGUUCCAUUAGGUUG
rnacentral:rRNA from 1 species